AAGACAUGACGGGGACAUACAUUGCAAAUAUCCUUGUAUCUAUCCCAUGCCUCCUAAAAUGUCUCAUAAUCUCGUUGGGUGAAGAGUAAGAGCUCAUGUCUCAUGCU